rnacentral:rRNA from 1 species
AGGCGAACCGGGGGAACUGAAACAUCUAAGUACCCCGAGGAAAAGAAAUCAACCGAGAUUCCGAAAGUAGCGGCGAGCGAAAUUGGACUAGCCCUUAAGCUUUACACGCGUUAGACGAACGGUCUGGAAAGUCCGACGAUACAGGGUGAUAGUCCCGUAGUUGACGACGUGUGUUCAGUGAAAUCGAGUAGGGCGGGACACGUGAUAUCCUGUCUGAAUAUGGGGGGGACCAUCCUCCAAGGCUAAAUACUACUGACUGACCGAUAGUGAACCAGUACCGUGAGGGAAAGGCGAAAAGAACCCCUGUGAGGGGAGUGAAAUAGAACCUGAAACCGUGUACGUACAAGCAGUAGGAGCAGGCUUUGUCCUGUGACUGCGUACCUUUUGUAUAAUGGGUCAGCGACUUAUAUUCAGUGGCAAGGUUAACCAUCUAGGGGAGCCGUAGGGAAACCGAGUCUUAACUGGGCGUUCAGUCUCUGGAUAUAGACCCGAAACCAGGUGAUCUAGCCAUGGGCAGGUUGAAGGUUGAGUAACAUCAACUGGAGGACCGAACCGACUAAUGUUGAAAAAUUAGCGGAUGACUUGUGGCUAGGGGUGAAAGGCCAAUCAAACCUGGAGAUAGCUGGUUCUCCCCGAAAGCUAUUUAGGUAGCGCCUCGGACGAAUACUACUGGGGGUAGAGCACUGUUAAGGCUAGGGGGUCAUCCCGACUUACCAACCCUUUGCAAACUCCGAAUACCAGUAAGUACUAUCCGGGAGACACACGGCGGGUGCUAACGUCCGUCGUGGAGAGGGAAACAACCCAGACCGCCAGCUAAGGUCCCAAAUUACUACUAAGUGGGAAACGAUGUGGGAAGGCUCAGACAGCCAGGAUGUUGGCUUAGAAGCAGCCAUCAUUUAAAGAAAGCGUAAUAGCUCACUGGUCGAGUCGGCCUGCGCGGAAGAUGUAACGGGGCUAAGUAGUAAACCGAAGCUGCGGCAAUGUGCUUUUGCACAUUGGGUAGGGGAGCGUUCUGUAAGCGGUUGAAGGUGUGUGGUAACGCAUGCUGGACGUAUCAGAAGUGCGAAUGCUGACAUGAGUAACGAUAAAGGGGGUGAAAAACCUCCUCGCCGGAAGACCAAGGGUUCCUGUCCAACGUUAAUCGGGGCAGGGUAAGUCGACCCCUAAGGCGAGGCCGAAAGGCGUAGUCGAUGGGAAACGGGUUAAUAUUCCCGUACUUCUUACAAUUGCGAUGGGGGGACGGAGAAGGCUAGGUGGGCCUGGCGACGGUUGUCCAGGUUCAAGUGCGUAGGCUUAAGAGUUAGGUAAAUCCGGCUCUUUUUAAGGCUGAGACACGACGUCGAGCAUCUACGGAUGUGAAGUCAUUGAUGCCAUGCUUCCAGGAAAAGCCUCUAAGCUUCAGAUUGUAAGGAAUCGUACCCCAAACCGACACAGGUGGUCGGGUAGAGAAUACCAAGGCGCUUGAGAGAACUCGGGUGAAGGAACUAGGCAAAAUGGUACCGUAACUUCGGGAGAAGGUACGCUCUCGACGGUGAAGUCCCUCGCGGAUGGAGCUAUUGAGAGUCGCAGAUACCAGGUGGCUGCAACUGUUUAUUAAAAACACAGCACUGUGCAAAAUCGUAAGAUGACGUAUACGGUGUGACGCCUGCCCGGUGCCGGAAGGUUAAUUGAUGGGGUUAGACUUCGGUCGAAGCUCUUGAUCGAAGCCCCGGUAAACGGCGGCCGUAACUAUAACGGUCCUAAGGUAGCGAAAUUCCUUGUCGGGUAAGUUCCGACCUGCACGAAUGGCGUAAUGAUGGCCACGCUGUCUCCACCCGAGACUCAGUGAAAUUGAAAUCGCUGUGAAGAUGCAGUGUACCCGCGGCUAGACGGAAAGACCCCGUGAACCUUUACUACAGCUUGGCACUGAACAUUGACCCUACAUGUGUAGGAUAGGUGGGAGGCUUUGAAGCACGUACGCCAGUAUGUGUGGAGCCGUCCUUGAAAUACCACCCUUGUAGUGUUGAUGUUCUAACGUCGACCCCUUAUCGGGGUUGCGGACAGUGCCUGGUGGGUAGUUUGACUGGGGCGGUCUCCUCCCAAAGAGUAACGGAGGAGCACGAAGGUGGGCUAAUCACGGUUGGACAUCGUGAGGUUAGUGCAAUGGCAUAAGCCCGCUUGACUGCGAGAAUGACAAUUCGAGCAGGUGCGAAAGCAGGUCAUAGUGAUCCGGUGGUUCUGAAUGGAAGGGCCAUCGCUCAACGGAUAAAAGGUACUCCGGGGAUAACAGGCUGAUACCGCCCAAGAGUUCAUAUCGACGGCGGUGUUUGGCACCUCGAUGUCGGCUCAUCACAUCCUGGGGCUGAAGUCGGUCCCAAGGGUAUGGCUGUUCGCCAUUUAAAGUGGUACGCGAGCUGGGUUUAGAACGUCGUGAGACAGUUCGGUCCCUAUCUGCCGUGGGCGUUGGAAGAUUGAAGGGGGCUGCUCCUAGUACGAGAGGACCGGAGUGGACGAACCUCUGGUGUUCGGGUUGUGUCGCCAGACGCAUUGCCCGGUAGCUAAGUUCGGAAUCGAUAACCGCUGAAAGCAUCUAAGCGGGAAGCGAGCCCUGAGAUGAGUCUUCCCUGAUACUUUAAGUAUCCUAAAGGGUUGU